rnacentral:lncRNA from 1 species
CUGGGACUGGUUGGAGGAGGUGACUGAGCUAUAGGAACUGGUUUAUCCACAGCUGGCAAGACAGCAAAUGGUGUACCACAGCUUUGAGAAACAGAUGCACAAGGGACAAGCUAUUAUCCUACUCAGGAUCCUAUGGAACAGUCAUGUGUUGGACACUGGGCAAAUAAAUUGGAAUGUUUGGAAGCCUGCUCACUGCUGCUGGUGGUCAGCAGCUGCUCUGUGGCAAUGGCUGUAGCCAAAGGCUGAGGAAGGCACUGCAAGACUCUGAAUUUCUGAAUUGGUCUCUUCUCUCCUUUGUCCCCGCCAAGAUCUCACAGCUCUCUUUGUACCUGCUGUGAAGAGGAAGGGGGCUCAGUGGAGCUGUCAUCCAGUGGCCCUAACUACCCAAAUUCCUACCCUUGCUGAUACCUGCUGCUCACUCCCCCAGUAAAGCAGGGCAACUUUUAUUUCCUUUGCAAAUGAGGCAUUCAUAAGAACAGUAACCAGGGCAGGAAUUUUCCAGCAAAGAAUAACAGGCAUUUCCUAUGUGAACACAGGUAUAUAACAGCACAGCCUGGGCUUCUGUUGUGUGAGGUAAUUUAUAUCAGUGAUUGUAGAACUGGGGCCAAAAUCUCUCAGCACUGGUGCUGUAUUUCCACUCAUUUUGUGCUAGGGUCUUCCUGUGAAUCCCCUGUGGGAGCAGUUCAGUGGUACUUAAAGAGAUGGUAUUUCUGUAAUUAUCUAAUUAUUGCUCCAAGGUUCUUUCUUGUGCUUGUUAAACCUUUAUACCAGUGAAAGUGUAACCCCACACUACUGAAUCUGGAUAAAAUGUGAUUGAGAAUCAACAUUAAUUCCCCAGUAGUCUUUGGAAUAGGUACUGUUGCCUUAUUUUUAUUAUUUCUGGUUUGAAAACCCAGAAUUCAGACUGGAUCAAUCUGAAUAGAGUAAAAAGUUUCAAAAGUAGUGGAGUGGGAAAAUGGGGCUGUAAUUCUCCAUUAGAUUCUUUGUAUUAACUUAAAAAUUAAUGGGACAUUUAUUUUUUUCAUGAAUACUAUAACAAUUUUCUGAAUCCUGUUAGUUACUAUCAAUCUCAUUUCUAAAUUCUGAUCUUUUUUUGCAGUAAGGAAUCAACAAUGAAUUGGUCCAUAUUUAUACUCAACAACCUUUCAGUUACUUACCUCUUAAUUAAUAUUGUUUUAUGCUCUUUAUUAAUUCCUUUAUGAGUUCCUUCCCUCUGGGACACAGGAGUCUAAGACCAAAUAAAGACAAAAAGGAAAAAUUAAGGGUGUCUUGG